GGUUAAGUGACUAAGCGUACACGGUGGAUGCCCUGGCAGUCAGAGGCGAUGAAGGACGUGCUAAUCUGCGAUAAGCGUCGGUAAGGUGAUAUGAACCGUUAUAACCGGCGAUUUCCGAAUGGGGAAACCCAGUGUGUUUCGACACACUAUCAUUAACUGAAUCCAUAGGUUAAUGAGGCGAACCGGGGGAACUGAAACAUCUAAGUACCCCGAGGAAAAGAAAUCAACCGAGAUUCCCCCAGUAGCGGCGAGCGAACGGGGAGCAGCCCAGAGCCUGAAUCAGUGUGUGUGUUAGUGGAAGCGUCUGGAAAGGCGCGCGAUACAGGGUGACAGCCCCGUACACAAAAAUGCACAUACUGUGAGCUCGAUGAGUAGGGCGGGACACGUGGUAUCCUGUCUGAAUAUGGGGGGACCAUCCUCCAAGGCUAAAUACUCCUGACUGACCGAUAGUGAACCAGUACCGUGAGGGAAAGGCGAAAAGAACCCCGGCGAGGGGAGUGAAAAAGAACCUGAAACCGUGUACGUACAAGCAGUGGGAGCACGCUUAGGCGUGUGACUGCGUACCUUUUGUAUAAUGGGUCAGCGACUUAUAUUCUGUAGCAAGGUUAACCGAAUAGGGGAGCCGAAGGGAAACCGAGUCUUAACUGGGCGUUAAGUUGCAGGGUAUAGACCCGAAACCCGGUGAUCUAGCCAUGGGCAGGUUGAAGGUUGGGUAACACUAACUGGAGGACCGAACCGACUAAUGUUGAAAAAUUAGCGGAUGACUUGUGGCUGGGGGUGAAAGGCCAAUCAAACCGGGAGAUAGCUGGUUCUCCCCGAAAGCUAUUUAGGUAGCGCCUCGUGAAUUCAUCUCCGGGGGUAGAGCACUGUUUCGGCAAGGGGGUCAUCCCGACUUACCAACCCGAUGCAAACUGCGAAUACCGGAGAAUGUUAUCACGGGAGACACACGGCGGGUGCUAACGUCCGUCGUGAAGAGGGAAACAACCCAGACCGCCAGCUAAGGUCCCAAAGUCAUGGUUAAGUGGGAAACGAUGUGGGAAGGCCCAGACAGCCAGGAUGUUGGCUUAGAAGCAGCCAUCAUUUAAAGAAAGCGUAAUAGCUCACUGGUCGAGUCGGCCUGCGCGGAAGAUGUAACGGGGCUAAACCAUGCACCGAAGCUGCGGCAGCGACGCUGAUGCGUUGUUGGGUAGGGGAGCGUUCUGUAAGCCUGCGAAGGUGUGCUGUGAGGCAUGCUGGAGGUAUCAGAAGUGCGAAUGCUGACAUAAGUAACGAUAAAGCGGGUGAAAAGCCCGCUCGCCGGAAGACCAAGGGUUCCUGUCCAACGUUAAUCGGGGCAGGGUGAGUCGACCCCUAAGGCGAGGCCGAAAGGCGUAGUCGAUGGGAAACAGGUUAAUAUUCCUGUACUUGGUGUUACUGCGAAGGGGGGACGGAGAAGGCUAUGUUGGCCGGGCGACGGUUGUCCCGGUUUAAGCGUGUAGGCUGGUUUUCCAGGCAAAUCCGGAAAAUCAAGGCUGAGGCGUGAUGACGAGGCACUACGGUGCUGAAGCAACAAAUGCCCUGCUUCCAGGAAAAGCCUCUAAGCAUCAGGUAACAUCAAAUCGUACCCCAAACCGACACAGGUGGUCAGGUAGAGAAUACCAAGGCGCUUGAGAGAACUCGGGUGAAGGAACUAGGCAAAAUGGUGCCGUAACUUCGGGAGAAGGCACGCUGAUAUGUAGGUGAAGCGACUUGCUCGUGGAGCUGAAAUCAGUCGAAGAUACCAGCUGGCUGCAACUGUUUAUUAAAAACACAGCACUGUGCAAACACGAAAGUGGACGUAUACGGUGUGACGCCUGCCCGGUGCCGGAAGGUUAAUUGAUGGGGUCAGCGCAAGCGAAGCUCUUGAUCGAAGCCCCGGUAAACGGCGGCCGUAACUAUAACGGUCCUAAGGUAGCGAAAUUCCUUGUCGGGUAAGUUCCGACCUGCACGAAUGGCGUAAUGAUGGCCAGGCUGUCUCCACCCGAGACUCAGUGAAAUUGAACUCGCUGUGAAGAUGCAGUGUACCCGCGGCAAGACGGAAAGACCCCGUGAACCUUUACUAUAGCUUGACACUGAACAUUGAGCCUUGAUGUGUAGGAUAGGUGGGAGGCUUUGAAGUGUGGACGCCAGUCUGCAUGGAGCCGACCUUGAAAUACCACCCUUUAAUGUUUGAUGUUCUAACGUUGACCCGUGAUCCGGGUUGCGGACAGUGUCUGGUGGGUAGUUUGACUGGGGCGGUCUCCUCCUAAAGAGUAACGGAGGAGCACGAAGGUUGGCUAAUCCUGGUCGGACAUCAGGAGGUUAGUGCAAUGGCAUAAGCCAGCUUGACUGCGAGCGUGACGGCGCGAGCAGGUGCGAAAGCAGGUCAUAGUGAUCCGGUGGUUCUGAAUGGAAGGGCCAUCGCUCAACGGAUAAAAGGUACUCCGGGGAUAACAGGCUGAUACCGCCCAAGAGUUCAUAUCGACGGCGGUGUUUGGCACCUCGAUGUCGGCUCAUCACAUCCUGGGGCUGAAGUAGGUCCCAAGGGUAUGGCUGUUCGCCAUUUAAAGUGGUACGCGAGCUGGGUUUAGAACGUCGUGAGACAGUUCGGUCCCUAUCUGCCGUGGGCGCUGGAGAACUGAGGGGGGCUGCUCCUAGUACGAGAGGACCGGAGUGGACGCAUCACUGGUGUUCGGGUUGUCAUGCCAAUGGCACUGCCCGGUAGCUAAAUGCGGAAGAGAUAAGUGCUGAAAGCAUCUAAGCACGAAACUUGCCCCGAGAUGAGUUCUCCCUGACUCCUUGAGAGUCCUGAAGGAACGUUGAAGACGACGACGUUGAUAGGCCGGGUGUGUAAGCGCAGCGAUGCGUUGAGCUAACCGGUACUAAUGAACCGUGAGGCUUAACCUU
rnacentral:rRNA from 1 species